UUGAUCCUGCCAGUAGUCAUAUGCUUGUCUCAAAGAUUAAGCCAUGCAUGUCUAAGUACAGACCGAAUAACACGGUGAAACCGCGAAUGGCUCAUUAAAUCAGUUAUGGUUCCUUGGAUCUUACCCAGUUACUUGGAUAACUGUGGCAAUUCUAGAGCUAAUACAUGCAACUGAGCUCCGACCGCAAGGGAAGAGCGCUUUUAUUAGAUCAAAACCAAUCGGGCUUCGGUCCGUCCCUUUGUGAUGACUCUGAGUAACUUUGAGCUGAGCGCACGGUCUCCGCACCGGCGCCGUAUCUUUCAAGUGUCUGCCUUAUCAGCUUUCGAUUGUAGGUUAUGCGCCUACAAUGGCUAUAACGGGUAACGGGGAAUCAGGGUUCGAUUCCGGAGAGGGAGCCUGAGAAACGGCUACCACAUCUAAGGAAGGCAGCAGGCACGCAAAUUACCCACUCCCAGCUCGGGGAGGUAGUGACGAAAAAUAACAAUGCGGGACUCUUCCGAGGCUUCGCAAUUGGAAUGAGUGAAAUUUAAAUCCUUUGACCAGGAUCUAUUGGAGGGCAAGUCUGGUGCCAGCAGCCGCGGUAAUUCCAGCUCCAAUAGCGUAUAUUAAAGUUGUUGCGGUUAAAAAGCUCGUAGUUGGAUUUGAGUUGUGGGCCGAUGGUUCGCCUCUGGUGAUUUACUGUCGGUCCUUACUGUUGGUCAUUUCGUUGGGGGUGCUCUUUACCGAGUGUCUCCUGCGUGUGGCAUGUUUACUUUGAAAAAAUUAGAGUGCUCAAAGCAGGCCUUGCGCCUGAAUAGUUGUGCAUGGAAUAAUGGAAUAGGAUCUCGGUUCUAUUUUGUUGGUUUUCGGAACCCGAGAUAAUGAUUAAUAGAGACGGACGGGGGCAUUCGUAUUGCGACGCUAGAGGUGAAAUUCUUGGACCGUCGCAAGACGAACUACUGCGAAAGCAUUUGCCAAGAACGUUCUCAUUAAUCAAGAACGAAAGUUAGAGGUUCGAAGGCGAUCAGAUACCGCCCUAGUUCUAACCAUAAACMAUGCUGACUAGCGAUCCGUCUGUGUUAAUCCCAUGACUAGACGGGCAGCUUCCGGGAAACCAAAGUCUUUGAGUUCCGGGGGAAGUAUGGUUGCAAAGCUGAAACUUAAAGGAAUUGACGGAAGGGCACCACCAGGAGUGGAGCCUGCGGCUUAAUUUGACUCAACACGGGGAACCUCACCAGGCCCGGACACCGGAAGGAUUGACAGAUUGAGAGCUCUUUCUUGAUUCGGUGGGUGGUGGUGCAUGGCCGUUCUUAGUUGGUGGAGCGAUUUGUCUGGUUAAUUCCGAUAACGAACGAGACUCUAGCCUGCUAACUAGUCGGAGGAUUUACAUACUAGUGCCCCGGGUAGCUUCUUAGAGGGAUAAGUGGUUUCUAGCCGCGAGAGAUUGAGCAAUAACAGGUCUGUGAUGCCCUUAGAUGUUCUGGGCCGCACGCGCGCUACACUGAAGGGAUCAGCGUGUGCUCCCUCUCCGAGAGGAGCGGGUAACCCGUUGAACCCCCUUCGUGAUAGGGAUUGGGGCUUGAAACUUUUCCCCAUCAACGAGGAAUUCCUAGUAAGCGCAAGUCAUCAGCUUGCGUUGAUUACGUCCCUGCCCUUUGUACACACCGCCCGUCGCUACUACCGAUUGAAUGAUUUAGUGAGGCCUUCGGACUGGCGCCUUUUGCAGUCUUCGUGAUUGCUUAGGGCUUGCCGGAAAGAUGUCCAAACUUGAUCAUUUAGAGGAAGUAAAAGUCGUAACAAGGUUUCCGUAGGUGAACCUGCGGA
rnacentral:rRNA from 1 species